CCCAACCCAGAUGGACCCGUCCACCCGGUCUCUAGCGUGGGUUGGAGCCGGACCAGUGUGACCAUACGACGGAAGUGGCAGACUGGUUUGGUUUCCGGUCCGACUGGUCAAAACCACGACACAGCAAUAGAUCCAAAGGAAAAAGAAGGCGAAGGCGGCGGCGCCUGCGCUUCGGCGGCCAACUGUGGGGGCGAACGUCGGAGGCGGCUGCGGUGGCUGCUGCGUCUGCAGCGGAUGGCGGCGACGCCCGGCGGCUGGGACGAAGAUGCCGCGCGACGGUCUCGCUCGAGGCCUCGAGGUGGAGGCCACCGCAUCUUCCCAUAGAGACCUAUGCCAACAAGGUCCAUUACUCUUUUCAUAUGUGUUCCUUGUGUCAUGGAUUGUUUUCACCUAUGAACCCUAGCUCAGAUUGAGAUUAGAUUUAGUUUGCAAAGAAAGCGAUGGGUGCAAGAUUCAAUCCGUUCUUUAUUUGUGAUGAUGAAAUCCCACAUUAGUCCAUUUGUUGUUGUAUCCAACAAUUUCUCUAACGAGUCCUGAAAUGCAUGCUAAAAUGGACUUGCAUCCUUACUGAACAUAUUGUAUGUGUUGUCUGAAAAAGACAGGUCAGUAUCCAAUUGUUCAGGUUGCAACGAAGUCUUGACAGCAAAUAAGAUAUACGUGUUAUCAGAUUCACUUGUCAAGUAGUCAGAUUUCACUGAUUUUGAAGGAUAGCAAUUUCUAACAAGGUGCGUUCCUGCAGAGACAUGGCACUCCAAUGUUAGGAUUCCAGCUUCUAUUUUGUGCUUUAGAAAUAUGAUGCUUCUGUUCGUGCCCCCAUCAAGAAGAUGCUUUUCUGCGGGGUGUAUUUAACCUGUUACUUGUUGCAUCCUUACCAGGAAAAAUGGCUGCAAUUUGUGUUUCGUUACAAUGAGUAGCUUGUGUUCUAUCUUGGUGCUUAAUCGACGUGGUUUAUUCAUGAUCUUGUCUGCUCAGUUUUGUUCCGGAUGUCAAUUUGGCAAGGCUAGUGCAAUUAUACAGAUCAGAGUUUGUGCAUGAGUGUUGCAGGUCUCAACAUGGAGACUGAAAAAUUAAUAAGUAAAAGUUCACAUGACCGCGUUGGCUCCAGAACAAACGAAUUCUUCCUCCCUCAUGAAUGAAUCUUGCUUUUGUGCUUGUGAUGGCAGAUUCAUGGAUGGGAAUAGAUCACCUGGAGGUUGCUUGAUGCAAGCCAAGCUUGUUUGGCUUCACAUUUCCUUCGGUUGAUCUCUAUAUCUUGGGCUAGUAGCUGCUAUUGGACUAGCACUCUGAUCACAAUGCAGCUCCUUGUUGUAAUGUAUGGCACGUGUUACAUGCCAUACAUGCCCAGUUACAUGUGGCUGCGCACAGUUACAUGCCCGGCACGUGUUGCUACUUGAAAUGCUACGAUGUGUUCCAUUUGGGCAGGAAAUGUUUCACUUUCUGAAAUUUAUGUAACUUGCAUUCCUACAGAGACAUGGCACUCCAAUGUUAUGCUUUCACAUGGCAAGGAUUAUUUAUGUAGAAAUUAUAAUGUUUUUUUGGUCA